UGUCUUUUUGAAAAUAAUAUAAAGUCUAAUCUGCCCACUGAUUUUAUAUUAAAGGGCUGCAGUAUUUUGACUGUACAAAGGUAGCAUAAUCAUUAGUCAUUUAAUUGAUGACUUGUAUGAAAGAUUGAAUGAAAUAUAGACUGUCUCUUAAUUAUUAAUAUAAAAUUUAAUUUUUUAAUUAAAAAGUUAAAAUAAUUUAAAAAGACGAGAAGACCCUAUAGAGUUUUAUAUUUAAAUUAAUUAAGAUUAUUUAAAAUUUAAAAUUAAAAUUAAUUUAUUUAUUAUAUUGGGGUGAUAGAAAAAUAUAUAUAACUUUUUUUACAUAAAAACAUUUAUAAGUGAUUAAAUGAUCCAAUAAUAUUGAUUAUAAGAAAAAAUUACCUUAGGGAUAACAGCGUAAUUUUUUUUUUUAGUUCACAUAAAAAAAAGAGUUUGCGACCUCGAUGUUGGAUUAAGAUAAAAUUUAAAUGUAGAAG
rnacentral:rRNA from 1 species